AGAGUUUGAUCCUGGCUCAGAACGAACGCUGGCGGCGUGCCUAACACGUGCAAGUCGAACGAGAAAGUCCCGCAAGGGAUGAGUAAAGUGGCGCACGGGUGAGUAACACGUAGGUAACCUGCCUCUAAGACCGGGAUAACCUGUCGAAAGACGGGCUAAUACCAGAUAAGACCACAGUUCCUUCGGGAACAGGGAUCAAAGGUGGCCUCUGCUUGCAAGCCAUCACUUAGAGAUGGGCCUGCGCACCAUUAGCUAGUUGGUAGGGUAACGGCCUACCAAGGCAAAGAUGGUUAGCUGGUCUGAGAGGAUGAUCAGCCACACUGGAACUGAGACACGGUCCAGACUCCUACGGGAGGCAGCAGUGGGGAAUAUUGCACAAUGGGCGGAAGCCUGAUGCAGCAACGCCGCGUGAGGGAUGACGGCCUUCGGGUUGUAAACCUCUUUUAGCAGGGAAGAAGCGAGAGUGACGGUACCUGCAGAAAAAGCGCCGGCUAACUACGUGCCAGCAGCCGCGGUAAUACGUAGGGCGCAAGCGUUAUCCGGAAUUAUUGGGCGUAAAGAGCUCGUAGGCGGUUUGUCGCGUCUGCUGUGAAAUCCCGAGGCUCAACCUCGGGCCUGCAGUGGGUACGGGCAGACUAGAGUGCGGUAGGGGAGAUUGGAAUUCCUGGUGUAGCGGUGGAAUGCGCAGAUAUCAGGAGGAACACCGAUGGCGAAGGCAGAUCUCUGGGCCGUAACUGACGCUGAGGAGCGAAAGGGUGGGGAGCAAACAGGCUUAGAUACCCUGGUAGUCC
rnacentral:rRNA from 1 species